rfam:Triticum urartu cultivar G1812 contig1080452, whole genome shotgun sequence.
CAAAUACUCCCUCCGUCCGAAAAUACAUGUCAUCGAAAUGGAUAAAAAUGUAUCUAGAACUAAAAUAUGUCUUGAUACAUCUCCUUUUAUCCAUUUUGAUGACAAGUAUUUCUGGACGAAAAGAGGGAGUAGAUA